rnacentral:rRNA from 1 species
UAGGGAAUCUUCGGCAAUGGGGGGAACCCUGACCGAGCAACGCCGCGUGAGUGAAGAAGGUUUUCGGAUCGUAAAGCUCUGUUGUUAAGGAAGAACGAGUGUGAGAAUGGAAAGUUCAUACUGUGACGGUACUUAACCAGAAAGGGACGGCUAACUACGUGCCAGCAGCCGCGGUAAUACGUAGGUCCCGAGCGUUGUCCGGAUUUAUUGGGCGUAAAGCGAGCGCAGGCGGUUAGAUAAGUCUGAAGUUAAAGGCAGUGGCUCAACCAUUGUAGGCUUUGGAAACUGUUUAACUUGAGUGCAGAAGGGGAGAGUGGAAUUCCAUGUGUAGCGGUGAAAUGCGUAGAUAUAUGGAGGAACACCGGUGGUGAAAGCGGCUCUCUGGUCUGUAACUGACGCUGAGGCUCGAAAGCGUGGGGAGCGAACAGG